rnacentral:rRNA from 1 species
UACGUAGGGUGCGAGCGUUAAUCGGAAUUACUGGGCGUAAAGCGUGCGCAGGCGGUUCGUUAAGUCAGAUGUGAAAGCCCCGGGCUCAACCUGGGAACUGCAUUUGAAACUGGCGGGCUUGAGUGUGGCAGAGGGGGGGUGGAAUUCCGCGUGUAGCAGUGAAAUGCGUAGAGAUGCGGAGGAACACCGAUGGCGAAGGCAGCCCCCUGGGCCAACACUGACGCUCAGGCACGAAAGCGUGGGGAGCAAACAGG